rnacentral:rRNA from 1 species
UACGUAGGUGACAAGCGUUGUCCGGAUUUACUGGGCGUAAAGAGCGCGCAGGCGGUCGUUCAAGUCGAGUGUGAAAGCCCCCGGCUCAACUGGGGAGGGUCACUCGAUACUGAUCGACUCGAAGGCAGGAGAGGGAAGUGGAAUUCCCGGUGUAGUGGUGAAAUGCGUAGAUAUUGGGUGGAACACCAGUGGCGAAGGCGGCUUUCUGGUCUGUAACUGACGCUGAGGCGCGAAAGCGUGGGGAGCAAACAGG